rnacentral:rRNA from 1 species
AGAGUUUGAUCCUGGCUCAGAACGAACGCUGGCGGCGUGCCUAACACAUGCAAGUCGAGCGUGAAAGUCCCUUCGGGGGCGAGUAAAGCGGCAGACGGGUGAGUAAUACAUAGGUAAUCUACCUUCGAGAUUGGGAUAACCUCGCGAAAGUGGGGCUAAUACCGGAUAAGACCACGUGGCAUACGUCACGGGGUAAAAGGUGGCUUUUUCUUCGGAUUGAGCUAUCACUUGAGGAUGAGCCUAUGGCCUAUCAGCUUGUUGGCGGGGUAAGAGCCCACCAAGGCUAUGACGGGUAGUUGGUCUGAGAGGACGACCAACCACACUGGGACUGAGACACGGCCCAGACUCCUACGGGAGGCAGCAGUGGGGAAUAUUGGGCAAUGGGCGAAAGCCUGACCCAGCGACGCCGCGUGGGUGAUGAAGGCCUUCGGGUUGUAAAGCCCUGUCAUGCGGAAAGAACAGUCUCGUAGCUAAUAACUACGAGAUUUGACGGUACCGCAGGAGGAAGCACCGGCUAACUCCGUGCCAGCAGCCGCGGUAAUACGGAGGGUGCAAGCGUUGUUCGGAAUUAUUGGGCGUAAAGGGCGCGUAGGCGGUAAUGAAAGUCAGAUGUGAAAUACUUCGGCUCAACUGAAGAACUGCAUCUGAAACUUCAUAACUAGAGUACGGAAGAGGGAAAUGGAAUUCCCGGUGUAGAGGUGAAAUUCGUAGAUAUCGGGAGGAACACCAGUGGCGAAGGCGAUUUCCUGGUCUGGUACUGACGCUGAGGCGCGAAAGUGUGGGGAGCAAACAGGAUUAGAUACCCUGGUAGUCCACACUGUAAACGGUGAACACUAGGUGUGGGAGGUGUAAUACCUUCUGUGCCGCAUUUAACGCGUUAAGUGUUCCGCCUGGGAAGUACGGCCGCAAGGUUGAAACUUAAAUGAAUUGACGG